AUUGAACGCUGGCGGCAGGCCUAACACAUGCAAGUCGAGCGGAUGACGGGAGCUUGCUCCUUGAUUCAGCGGCGGACGGGUGAGUAAUGCCUAGGAAUCUGCCUGGUAGUGGGGGACAACGUUUCGAAAGGAACGCUAAUACCGCAUACGUCCUACGGGAGAAAACAGGGGACCUUCGGGCCUUGCGCUAUCAGAUGAGCCUAGGUCGGAUUAGCUAGUUGGUGGGGUAAUGGCUCACCGAGGCGACGAUCCGUAACUGGUCUGAGAGGAUGAUCAGUCACACUGGAACUGAGACACGGUCCAGACUCCUACGGGAGGCAGCAGUGGGGAAUAUUGGACAAUGGGCGAAAGCCUGAUCCAGCCAUGCCGCGUGUGUGAAGAAGGUCUUCGGAUUGUAAAGCACUUUAAGUUGGGAGGAAGGGCAGUAAGCUAAUAUCUUGCUGUUUUGACGUUACCGACAGAAUAAGCACCGGCUAACUCUGUGCCAGCCGCCGCGGUAA
rnacentral:rRNA from 1 species